UCCAGCUCUUCCACGUUCCUCCUCUGACUCCUCAGCCCCUUCCCAUCUCCUCUGUGAUCCUCCCGACUCCCUAGCUCUUCCCUAUCUCCUCCAUGCUCCUCUCCUGACUCCGCAGCUCCUCCGUGCUCCUCCCGACUCCCCAGCUCCUCCCCUGAAUCCUCAUCUCCUCCAUGCUCCUCCCCUGACUCCUCAUCUCCUCUGUGCUCCUCCCAACUCCCCAUCUCCUCCAUGCUCCUCCUGACUCCCCAACUCCUCUCUGCUCCUCCCAACUCUCUAUCCCCUCCAUGGUCCUCCUCUGACUCCUCAGCUCCUCCCCAUCUCCUCCAUGCUUCUCCCCUGACUCCCCAGCUCCUCUGUGCUCCUCUCCUGACUCCCUAGCUCCUCCCAGCUCCUCUGUGCUCCUCCCGAUUCCACAGCAACUCCGUGCACUGCCCUGACACUCCAGCUCCUCCUCUGAUGCCCCAGCUCCUCAGUGCUCAUCCCCAGCUCUGUCCCAACCACUUCUUCAUCCUGACUUGUAUGAGUUUUGCUGUUUUUGUCUCUCCUCCCCCACGACUUUGAGAUGCUAUCUGUCUUUUCUUAGCUUUCAUUCUCUGGCCCCUAGCUCAGAUCCUGGCACUGUAAACACCCAAUAGACCCUGGUUUGAUUUCGAAUUGCUCAUCAAUUUCUGAAAAUAAUGCACCUCAAGCUUUUCUUGGCAGUUGUCUGCAAAUUGAUUCAAGAUGCCCAGCCAGGCAGGGGCAGGUGUGCUGGGGAAAUCAAGGAAACCAACAUCCAUCCUGCUGGGAAGGCCUCCCACACUCUGACUCAUCUGGUUUUCCUUCACACGUGUAUUUGCGGGAAACGAACUUCUGUGCUUGAAUAAAUAUGCGGUUCUUUGUAAACAUCAACGUUGUAAGUGCAAUAAAUCACUGGAAACAAGAGGCACCUCUCGCGGUGGAGAACAGGAACGGCUUUCGCAAGCCCUGUGGAAUGGAGCUAAUAAUAGACCUUCCAGGUAUGAGAUGAAAUGAGAGACUCUGGUGCUUCACAGCCUUUCUCCUGACAGCGUACCUUCAAAGCUUCAAGCAGGGCUGUGGCGGGGGACUCCAAUGGGGCUGAGUUUUCUGCUGGAAAAGUGGCUGGCCAUGGGCAGGGCCUGGUCUGGCCACCCCAGACAGGGCUGUUUGCAGGGGGCGUGGUGACCCAGACAAACAUGCUCUGGAGGUGAGACCACAAACAGCCCGGGCCCAGGGAGGCACUGAGUCCUCGCAAAUGGGGUCAGGCGCAGCUGCUGCAGGCCCGACACCGCCCCUCUGCUC
rnacentral:lncRNA from 10 species